UGUGUUUGUCUAGUAGAGAAGUAAAAUCAAGUUGCGUUGUGUAACAUUUUUCAUUCUAAACACAAGUAUAAUUAAUUCGGUUCGCUCGGUAGGAUUUUGGGUUUUCGACACGGUUCCGACAUUUUAAGAACCACGAGUAACGAUUCGGUUCACGAAUUCCAAGAAACCAGACCUUAUGAUGUCCUACUAUGGCCAUAUUUGCUUGCACUUACAAUCUAACUUAUUUUGCUUAUUUACCUAAAAAAAGUUAUUUAAGGGUGUUUUAUCCAAUUAUGAAUAAUCACUUAUUUGGCUUUACUAGCUUAUUUGAUCCAAAAAUAAAUAAAAAUUGAUUAUUUCAAACUCCAAUUUGAAGCUUUUUUUAUGUACUUAUUUUAAGUUGUUAGAACAUGAAUGAACAAAAGAUUAUCCGUCAUUGUUAGAAUAAUCCGUCGUUUUACCUUAUCCCCUCACCAAUAUUCCCUCCAAAUUUUUUGACCACUAACAAACUAGCUGUUAGAGUUAAACCAAUAAAUGACCUCCCAUGCGGAGGCCAAAACAAGAAAAAUAAGUGGAAUCUCAAUUCAGAAAUAAAUUUCCCUAUACCAAUUUGUUUCUCUUGCAGGUAUUGGAAUAUUGGUGAAUUUGGGUAAUUUGGAAGAGCUUGAGCUUGGUGAUAAUUAUCUUCAUAAAUAGCAUUCUACCGUCUUUGAAUAAGCUUUCAAACCUGAAGAUUCUAAAUUUGGCCUCGAACGUAUUGAAUGGGUCAAUUUCUGCUAAAGGCAAGUUUGAAAUAUAUAUAUCAAUUUUGUCAAACGGAAAACCAUAAGUCAGAACAUAAUCUCUUUUUUCUUUUUUUCCCUGAAAAAUGCUUGGCACAGAAAUUCAGACACAAAUGUAAUUGCAGCUGUCCGAUACUUGUCUCCCAUGCAUCAAAUUGCUCAAAACACACAUGUAUCUGGAUAUGCAUCCAAACAUAUUAAUUUGUCCGUUGUACCACGGCUCUUUUUUUCUUCAUUCAUAGUAAUUUUUUGCAUGUUGUCCAUUUUCACGUGUUCCGUGGUUUGUUUCACAUUUCUUUACCACAGAAUUUGGUAGCUUGAACAACUUGAAGGAGCUGGACUUGAGCUCAAACCGGGUUGUCAGUAUCACAACGAUCGACGGUUCAUAAGAAGAAUCAGGAAUAUUGAACAAGUUAGAGGUCCUUUAUCUAAGUUAUAAUUUAUUUGAUGACACUAUUUGGUCUGGGAGAGCUUUCAUCAAUCAAGACACUGGAUUUGAGUG